rnacentral:piRNA from 1 species
UACAAUAUGGUAGCUCGAUCU